rnacentral:rRNA from 1 species
GACUAAGACGUUGAUAGGUUGGGUGUGUAAGCGUAGCGAUACGUUGAGCUAACCAAUACUAAUGAACCGUGAGGCUUAACCUG